rnacentral:rRNA from 1 species
UACAGAGGGGGCAAGCGUUAUUCGGAAUUAUUGGGCGUAAAGGGCGCGUAGGCGGCUUGGCAAGUGGAAGGUGAAAUCCCUCGGCUUAACCGAGGAACUGCCCUCCAAACUGCUUUGCUUGAGGCCGGGAGAGGCGAGUGGAAUUCCCAGUGUAGCGGUGAAAUGCGUAGAUAUUGGGAGGAACACCAGUGGCGAAGGCGGCUCGCUGGACCGGUUCUGACGCUGAGGUGCGAAAGCGUGGGGAGCAAACAGG